rnacentral:lncRNA from 1 species
CUCCCCCUCCCCUCUCCGCUCUCGCUCUCCGUGAUUUAUUACUUGCCCUGCUGCUUCUGACAAACUAUUUGUAGGAAAAUGAGAUUUGGUCCGCGCUGGAUGGCUCCUCUGGGAGGCAGGCGUGGGGGUCGGGUGUCGGAGGCCCCGUGCGCCCCCCCACCCCCCACCAGAGCCCACGGCGCUCACGGAGCUCUUUAAGAUAAAUGAGCAAAAUUAAGAGACUCACUGGGGGAAGAAAACACUGGAUGGGAGCGAGCGAGAGCGGAUGGUACUUGGUUUCCUCCCAGAAAUGCAUCCACGUGCGCCCCACUGGGGCCUCCCCCAUCUGCUGCAGACUCCAGGGAACUUCCUCCCCUCAAAGACGAACUUCCAGCCCUGGAGCAUGUUUCUUCCUUUCCUGGGAUGUGGCGCUGAAAAGGGCAGAAACCUCUAGUAAGGCACAAGCAACAGAUUGGGGGUGGAGCAGCAGGUCUCUUUGGAGGUGGCCUGGAAGAAACCGGACAGAGAGGAUGGGAAGGGGAGAAACAGAAGAGUGUGACGAGAUCAUGAAGGAAAGAGGAGGCGUCUACUGAAUGUAAGGUAGAGCCAAAGGCAUCUAUUGAUGACUGAAGAAGAGGCAUGAAUAUGACAAAAACAGGAAGAGAGAAAACAUGAGAAGUCAGAAUGCUUGGAAUUUCACCUGGAUCUGCCACCAUGCAUAAUGUGAAUUUGGAAAUGCUACUUAACUUCUCCAAGACACAGCUUAUGAAUCUUUGAGCCAGAGAAAAUAAGUAAGUGUAAGAAUCAGAUGAGGUAAUGACUGUGGAUAUAGUAUAAAAAUACGGAAAGUAAUUAGAAAUGAAAUACACCCUCUGUAGUAGUUAUCUGUUGAUGUAUAACAAACAACCCCAAACUUGG